rnacentral:rRNA from 1 species
AAAAAAAAGACGCAAACCCUGCCAGCCCCGGAUCAAAGAACCAUGCCUCGGUCCCCCACAAAAAGGACGCGCACAGCCUGCGCCGCCUCCUCCCACCCAUCUCAAGUCUCCACCCGUUUUCAAUAAAACGCGCUACCUCCAUCUCCCCGCACCACACCACCUCCAUCUCCAUGGACACCUCCACCCUCGCCGCCGUCGCUUCCUUCGUCGCCUUGUCCACGAAGCCCCGCCUCCUCCCGCCACUCAUCCCCUCUCGCAGCCUUCCACGCACCCGCGGCUCCCUUGCCGUCUGCUGCUCUCACUCCCACGCCUCUCCUCCGCCCUCGCCCCUCCCGUGCACUGCGUCCGAUGAGGAGGAGGUCGCUCCUCCGCACCUCCGCCUCUGCCGGCUCGCCGAGGAGUUCGGCGCUCUCCCGGACGCCGACCGCGCGCGCCGCCUGCUCGCUUACGCGGCCGCGCUCCCGCCGCUGCCCCAGGCGGACCGCGUCGCGGCCAACCGCGUCAUGGGGUGCGUCGCGCAGGUCUGGCUCCUGGGCAGCUGCGAUCGCUCGGGACGCAUGCGGUUCGCGGCCGACUCCGACUCCGAGCUCUCGCGCGGGUAUUGUUCCUGCCUCGUCUCCGCGCUCGACGGCGCGGGCCCCGAGGAGGUGCUCGACGUGGACCCCGCCGAUCUCGCGCCGCUCGGUGUGGCCGCGGGGGCGCGGUCCCGGGUCAAUACGUGGUACAACGUGCUCGUCGGCAUGCAGAAGCGGGCACGGGCAGCCAUUGCGGCGCGCGAGGGCAGGCGUCGUGGGGAACCGUUCCCGUCGCUCGUGAUCGGCCGGGACGGCGCCGUCCGCGCGCAAGGAAGCUACGCCGAGGCCAAGGCGAAGUUUUUAUCUCCUGACCAGUCCAAGAUUUCCGAGCUUGUGAAUGCCCUCAGAGAGAAACAAAUUGGGAUUGUGGCCCAUUUCUACAUGGAUCCUGAGGUGCAAGGCAUACUAACUGCUGCAAAGAGGCAAUGGCCCCACAUUCACAUAUCCGACUCAUUGGUAAUGGCAGAUAGUGCUGUUCAGAUGGCUGAAGCAGGAUGCAAAUAUAUCGCUGUGCUAGGUGUUGACUUCAUGUCAGAAAAUGUCCGUGCAAUACUUGAUCAAGCAGGAUUUACUCAGGUUGGUGUUUAUAGAAUGUCCAGCGAGCAAAUUGGUUGUUCCUUGGCAGAUGCUGCUUCAAGUUCUGCUUAUACACAUUUUCUUAAGACGGCAUCAAGAUCUCCUCCUUCUUUACAUGUCAUUUAUAUCAAUACCUCACUGGAAACAAAAGCUCGUACUCAUGAACUUGUUCCUACGAUAACCUGUACCUCUUCCAAUGUUGUUGCAACUAUACUACAGGCAUUUGCUGAAAUACCAGAUCUUAAUGUCUGGUAUGGUCCUGAUUCCUAUAUGGGUGCGAACAUAGCAGACCUAUUUAAGAGAAUGACUAUCAUGUCAGAUGAAGAGAUUACAGAGAUACAUCCAGAUCACAACAGGAAAACUAUAAGUUCAUUAUUACAACGUCUUCAUUACUAUCAGAAUGGUAACUGUAUUGUGCAUGAUAUGUUUGGCCAUGAAGUUGUGGAGAAAAUAAAGGAGGAAUACUGUGAUGCAUUUCUAACUGCACACUUUGAAGUCCCAGGAGAAAUGUUCUCUUUGUCGAUGGAAGCAAAGACGAGGGGAAUGGGAGUAGUUGGAUCCACUCAGAAUAUCUUAGAUUUCAUUAAAUACCAUUUGAAGCAGACUCUGGAUCGGAAUGUUGAUGAUCAUCUUCAGUUUGUAUUGGGAACAGAAUCAGGAAUGAUCACUUCGAUUGUUGCUGCUGUCCGGCAAUUAUUUGACUCCUAUGAAUCUUCCAAAGAAGGUGCUAGCAUUGAAGUAGAAAUUGUGUUCCCUGUUUCGUCAGACGCAAUUUCUAAGACAUCUAUUGAUGAUUCCCAUCAUUUUGGCUCUUCAGUAGCGAAUGAUUUAGAACAGAUUAGUAUCGUGCCUGGUGUGUUUUCUGGUGAAGGGUGCUCUAUCCAUGGUGGCUGUGCGUCAUGCCCUUACAUGAAGAUGAAUUCUCUCGAGUCGCUAUUUAAAAUCUGCCAGCAGCUUCCUGGUGAAGACAACAGUUUAUCUGUUUAUCAGGCUAGUCGAUUGAAUGCUAAGACUUCCCUUGGGAAAUUGGUUGCGGAGGUUGGGUGUGAGCCAAUUUUGCAUAUGAGGCAUUUCCAGGCGACAAAGAGAUUACCAGACAAGCUCGUUCACCAGAUUAUCCAUGGUAACGGAGGGGAACCUUUAUGAUGGCCGUUCCUCAGAAUCUUCCCUGUCAACUUUAUUCAGGUGUUUAUGGAUGAUACAUCAGUAUGUUGCCCCACUUGAGUACUUCCGUACCUGAUAUUAGCAUUGCAGGGUGCAGUAUCCGGCUUUGCACCAAGUGUUGUUAUCCCGUUACUGAUAAUUACCAGUGGAGUGACAUUCACAGAGUCUGCAAUGGGUAGAUAUAUUGGCUGAGCAAUUGUUAUUUGUCUCAGCCAAAAUAUUUCUCGCGUAUGUUUGAUGUCAGACAUAUAAAUGGGCGGCAUACAAUAGCAUUGCUCAACAAUUUUUGUGCUCUGUAACGGGGAGGACCUAAAUCACCUGCGUUGCUGUGAUGUAUUUGAAGCUUUUAACCUCGUGUUGUAAAAUGUCCUAACGAAAUCUCGCGUUGCGGCAUGCUGUGAAUCAGAGGGAGCACUGGCUGCAGCUAGUGUAUACGAGCCAGUGCCGUCUACAGGAAUUAUGGGCCCUGUGCAAAAAGCAAAAUGGGGCUGUAAAUUUUGAAAUUGAUUUGAUGCAUUUAGUCACUCUCAAACGUUUUUCAGCAUUA